ensembl:lncRNA
GGAACCAAUUUCAUUGGGGCCCAGAGAGAACUCGCAGAUCUCAUGAAAGAAAUGAAUCAGGAGAAGGUAAAAGCGCUUGGAUGUGAAUUUCUCAUGAUUCCCCCUUCGGCAAGCCAUAUGGGUGGAAUAUGGGAAAGACAGAUCAGGACCAUCCGUAGUGUUCUUUCAGCCAUCCUUGACCAGUCAGCAAAGAGACUCGACAGUACAUCCUUGAGAACCUUGUUGUAUGAGGUCAUGGCGAUUGUCAACAGUAGGCCACUUUCCAUCGAGCAUUUAAGUGAUCCAACAGGUCCUGAGCCAUUAACGCCCAAUCACAUUCUCACUAUGAAGUCAACCAUUGUUCAACCUCCUCCAGGAGAGUUUAUGAAAGAAGAUUUGUAUCUUCAAAAAAGAUGGAGAAGAGUACAAUAUUUAGCCAAUGAGUUUUGGAUUCGUUGGAGGAAAGAAUAUUUGCUCAACUUGCAACCAAGACAGAAGUGGAAUGUACACAGAAGGAAUCUGAAGAUAAAUGAUGUAGUGCUUCUACAAGAUGACAUGGCACCACGUAAUGAAUGGAAGCUUGCCAAAGUCACUGAUGUCUAUCCAGGAACUGAUAACAAAGUGAGAAAGGUUCGACUUUUGGUUAGUGAAAGGACAUAUGACAAGCAUAGUAAACUUGUGACUAAGACAGUCUCAUUAGAACGACCUAUUCAUAAGGUUAUUGUUUUGCUAGAAGCAGACUAAGGGUUUGUGUUUAUUUUCAUGUUCAGUUUGUCAGACUGAGUGUAAGUCAUAGAAAUCCCACAGUAAGAGUUGUGAGAUUGGUGGGAGUGUUACUGCCACAUUUGCGUUUCUAUUCAUUUUCUGUAUUUUAUUAUUAUUACCGUUAAGUGCCACUAGGGGCGCUGUAGCUUAAGAGUGAGCUUCGUAUGCAGAGAAGAGGUUAAUACAGAAGAAGAAGCCAGCUCUCUAGAGAAAGAAGCGAUCUCUCUAGAGAAAGAAAGAUGCAUGACUAAAGUGUGGUCACUAAGCUAAUAAGAGAAAUAAGAUCAACAAAAAGAAGAAGAAAAAGACUUAAACUAAUUCCUCUCUCGGUACUCAGCCAACGAGUUUUCACGGUGUGUUUAUGAUCCUGACUAAGCUGGAUUCAAUAAAUCCAUCAGUAUGAGAAAGCCACUUGUGUCUGUUGGUACCUGGAGGAAUUACAUAGUAUGUUCUUU